rnacentral:rRNA from 1 species
UACGAUGAAGACAAGUGUUAUUCAUCUUUAAUAGGUUUAAAGGGUACCUAGACGGUAAAUCAAACCGUAAAAGGUACAGUUUUACUAGAGUUUUAUGUGAGAGGUAAAUAUUAGUACUAAUGGUGUAGAGAUAAAAUGCUUUGAUACUAUUAGGACUGGCAGAGGCGAAAGCAACCCUCUAUGUAAAAACUGACGUUGAGGGACGAAGGCUUGGGUAGCGAAUAGG